rnacentral:lncRNA from 1 species
UUUAUUUAUGCAUUUAUGCCGGUCACAAAAAUUUAUCAAACGAAUUGUUUUCAAACAUUUUUCAAUUGUGACUAGUACCAAAGCCACGGCCGGCGCUACACAAGGCCACGACCAGCACCAUAUAAUUAAAACUAGCGCCAUACCAUGUAAUAUCAACAUGGCUGGCGCCUUAGAGACUUACACCACAAUACAUUCAUUCUUAUACUUAUACGUAGUGUGUAUAGUAUCCAAUGCCUUCAACAAUUAUUUGGUCAAAAUAAAUAAAGUUCACAUGUGAGUAGUCAUGCAUGCAAUAGUUCUUCAUGUGUCAUUGUCAUUGUCAUAAUGCAUGCUAUUAUUUUCUUGAAAAUAUUACCUCAUGUGAAGCUUUCUUGAGAUGCCUGACAUAUUACUAUUUCCUAUUUAUUCACUUUUGACCAUUUCAACAAACAAUUCAUUCAUUACUUUUUCUAAUCUCCUAAGUUUAUUAUAUCAACAUACCAUAUAAUUUCCCUCUCUUUAUUACACCACUCAAUUUCC